GACCCCUUCAUGGAAUUGAUAGUUGAAAUUUUCAAUGAUACUGUAAGGCCUACACCUGAAUCAUUAUGGCCUUCACCAUCAAGACCUUUUACUGUACUUUCCUGUCUGGAUUUCUUCUUCCGUGUUGUUCCUGAAUCCUGCUGCACCAGCUCAAUCUCUAUUCCGCAGAUUACAGUCAGCAUGGGAGCAGGCAUACCCUGACAACUCUCAAAUUAGUCUGCAACUUGGAAGAUGUUAAAGAGGGACUCGAAAGUUAAAUAGAGAGGGUUUACAGGGCAACUUUUUGGCUACAUAAAAAUCACCGAAAAACUCUUCAUCAGUCAAUGCUACUUUUAUCAGAUCUUAAAAGUCUGAAUUCUGGCAGGCUCAGAGAGCUCAGCUUUGCUGCAAAAUGGUGUCCCUCUCUAUGUUCCUCAUAUGAUCGCU
rnacentral:misc_RNA from 1 species